UGUACCUUGUUUAACUUGACUUCCUGUCCUGUCUUCCCAGUUGAUUGAGGCCCCGCCCUGAUGUGUUUCACCUGUGUUUGAUUGGCCAUGUCUGCCUCUCCGUGUGUGUUGGUUUGUUUUGUUUGUUCCGGGCGAUUUAACGUCACUUCUGUCUGUUUCUCUGGUUUUUAUGUCGCACCGAAGUCGAAUUAAGAUGGGAGAACGCGGCCGUUAACCUUUGCUGCUAAGUUAACCCUGACUUAAACCGUUUCACGGACUUCAAACCGGGGCGAGAGGACGCGGCUUGGCGAAGUCACGUGCAACUUAUUCCUGGCCGGCCCCUUCUUGACCACACUAGACACUCAUUGGCCCCCAGAUCAUUUGACUUUGACACCCCUGCUGUAACACAUGAGUUUUCCUACUGCGACUGUAAAAGAACGGCAAGAAGGACAUCAAGGAUUGCUAACCUGAACAGAGGAGACCUGCAGGACAGGGUUUUUG